UCAACGUUCGACAACAUUCUAGAGGUUCACGACGAUGUUGCUGGAACAAUCGAUAAUGUGCUAGACAAAGUGAUGACUUCAAGUGACGAUGUGUGUAAAGAAUCUUCAGAGGAAGAAGAGUUAUCUAUGUACGAAGAACCACCUACACAUCAGAGGGCUUUGCAAUGCAUGGAAGAAUUAGAACGGGCAGCAGACGGACCAAGAUAAGAGAUGAGCAAGACACGCAGGAGAGGCGCGGAAAAUCACGCGCCCCACAAACGCCUUCCUGGUUUUUGCUAAUGAUUGGCGAAAGAAAACCAAAUUAGUGUGACGCAGCAGCAACAACAACCAGACAAUAAAUCGAUGAGCCCUGCAGAGAAGGAAUAUCGGCGCC